UACGGUAGGGGGCAAGCGUUGUCCGGAAUCAUUGGGCGUAAAGAGCGUGUAGGCGGCUCGAUAAGUCUGCUGUGAAAGUCAGGGCUCAACCCUGGAAGGCCGGAUGGAAACUGUCGGGCUAGAGUCCGGAAGAGGCGAGUGGAAUUCCCGGUGUAGCGGUGAAAUGCGCAGAUAUCGGGAGGAACACCGACGGCGAAGGCAGCACUCUGGGCCGGUACUGACGCUGAGGAGCGAAAGCAUGGGGAGCGAACAGG
rnacentral:rRNA from 1 species